ACGCUAGCUACAGGCUUAACACAUGCAAGUCGAGGGGAAACGACAUCGAAAGCUUGCUUUUGAUGGGCGUCGACCGGCGCACGGGUGAGUAACGCGUAUCCAACCUGCCCACCACUUGGGGAUAACCUUGCGAAAGUAAGACUAAUACCCAAUGACGUCUCUAGAAGACAUCUGAAAGAGAUUAAAGAUUUAUCGGUGAUGGAUGGGGAUGCGUCUGAUUAGCUUAUUGGCGGGGUAACGGCCCACCAAGGCGACGAUCAGUAGGGGUUCUGAGAGGAAGGUCCCCCACAUUGGAACUGAGACACGGUCCAAACUCCUACGGGAGGCAGCAGUGAGGAAUAUUGGUCAAUGGACGAGAGUCUGAACCAGCCAAGUAGCGUGCAGGAUGACGGCCCUAUGGGUUGUAAACUGCUUUUAUAAGGGAAUAAAGUGAGUCUCGUGAGACUUUUUGCAUGUACCUUAUGAAUAAGGACCGGCUAAUUCCGUGCCAGCAGCCGCGGUAAUACGGAAGGUCCGGGCGUUAUCCGGAUUUAUUGGGUUUAAAGGGAGCGUAGGCCGGAGAUUAAGCGUGUUGUGAAAUGUAGACGCUCAACGUCUGCACUGCAGCGCGAACUGGUUUCCUUGAGUACGCACAAAGUGGGCGGAAUUCGUGGUGUAGCGGUGAAAUGCUUAGAUAUCACGAAGAACUCCGAUUGCGAAGGCAGCUCACUGGAGCGCAACUGACGCUGAAGCUCGAAAGUGCGGGUAUCGAACAGGAUUAGAUACCCUGGUAGUCCGCACGGUAAACGAUGGAUGCCCGCUGUUGGUCUGAAUAGGUCAGCGGCCAAGCGAAAGCAUUAAGCAUCCCACCUGGGGAGUACGCCGGCAACGGUGAAACUCAAAUGAA
rnacentral:rRNA from 1 species